rnacentral:rRNA from 1 species
GUCCACGCCGUAAACGAUGGAUACUAGCUGUUCGGGGCCUUGAGUUCUGAGCGGCUAAGCGAAAGUGAUAAGUAUCCCACCUGGGGAGUACGUUCGCAAGAAUGAAACUCAAAGGAAUUGACGGGGGCCCGCACAAGCGGUGGAGCAUGUGGUUUAAUUCGAUGAUACGCGAGGAACCUUACCAGGGCUUAAAUGUAGUCUGACAGCUUUAGAGAUAGAGUUUUCUUCGGACAGAUUACAAGGUGCUGCAUGGUU